GAACCUGCGGAAGGAUCAUUAUCGAGAG
rnacentral:rRNA from 1 species